rnacentral:rRNA from 1 species
AUUGAACGCUGGCGGCAUGCCUUACACAUGCAAGUCGAACGGUAACGGGCCUUCGGGUGCCGACGAGUGGCGAACGGGUGAGUAACAUAUCGGAACGUACCUUUCAGUGGGGGAUAACGUAGCGAAAGUUACGCUAAUACCGCAUAUUCUGUGCGCAGGAAAGCAGGGGACCUUCGGGCCUUGCGCUGAUUGAGCGGCCGAUAUCAGAUUAGCUAGUUGGUGAGGUAAAGGCUCACCAAGGCGACGAUCUGUAGCGGGUCUGAGAGGAUGAUCCGCCACACUGGAACUGAGACACGGUCCAGACUCCUACGGGAGGCAGCAGUGGGGAAUUUUGGACAAGGGGGGCAACCCUGAUCCAGCCAUGCCGCGUGAGUGAAGAAGGCCUUCGGGUUGUAAAGCUCUUUCGGCCGGGAAGAAAUCGUAUGGGCUAAUACCCUGUGCGGAUGACGGUACCGGCAUAAGAAGCACCGGCUAACUACGUGCCAGCAGCCGCCGUAAGAC